rnacentral:rRNA from 1 species
UACAGAGGUCCCAAGCGUUGUUCGGAUUCACUGGGCGUAAAGGGUGCGUAGGCGGUUGGGUAAGUCUGUCGUGAAAUCUCCGAGCCUAACUCGGAAACUGCGUCGGAUACUAUUCAACUCGAGGAAUGGAGGGGAGACUGGAAUUCUCGGUGUAGCAGUGAAAUGCGUAGAUAUCGAGAGGAACACCAGUGGCGAAGGCGAGUCUCUGGGACGGUACUGACGCUGAGACGCGAAAGCGUGGGGAGCGAACAGG